UUUAGAGUUUGAUUCCUGGCUCAGGACGAACGCUGGCGGCGUGCCUAACACAUGCAAGUCAGGGAGAAAGGGGUAGCAAUAUCCCGAGUAAACCGGCGAACGGGUGAGUAACACGUAGGUAACCUACCUUGGGGUUUGGGAUAACCUCGAGAAAUCGGGGCUAAUACCGAAUAAUGCAGCGGAUCUGCAUGGAUAUGUUGUUAAAGCUAUUCCGACUUGUCGGGAUAGCGCCUCAGGAUGGACCUGCGCCCGAUUAGCUAGUUGGUGGGGUAACGGCCUACCAAGGCGACGAUCGGUAGCCGGCCUGAGAGGGUGACCGGCCACACUGAGACUGAGAUACGGCCCAGACUCCUACGGGAGGCAGCAGUGAGGAAUAUUGGUCAAUGGGCGAAAGCCUGAACCAGCAACGCCGCGUGAGGGAUGAAGCACCAAGGUGCGUAAACCUCUGUUAGGAGGGACGAAUAGCCCCGUUGUGAACAACGGGAUUUGACGGACCUCCAGAGAAAGCCCCGCA
rnacentral:rRNA from 1 species